AGUGAACGCUGGCGGUAGGCCUAACACAUGCAAGUCGAACGGCAGCACAGGAGAGCUUGCUCUCUGGGUGGCGAGUGGCGGACGGGUGAGGAAUACAUCGGAAUCUACUCUGUCGUGGGGGAUAACGUAGGGAAACUUACGCUAAUACCGCAUACGACCUACGGGUGAAAGCAGGGGACCUUCGGGCCUUGCGCGAUUGAAUGAGCCGAUGUCGGAUUAGCUAGUUGGCGGGGUAAAGGCCAACCAAGGCGACGAUCCGUAGCUGGUCUGAGAGGAUGAUCAGCCACACUGGAACUGAGACGCGGUCCAGACUCCUACGGGAGGCAGCAGUGGGGAAUAUUGGACAAUGGGCGCAAGCCUGAUCCAGCCAUACCGCGUGGGUGAAGAAGGCCUUCGGGUUGUAAAGCCCUUUUGUUGGGAAAGAAAUCCAGCUGGCUAAUACCCGGUUGGGAUGACGGUACCCAAAGAAUAAGCACCGGCUAACUUCGUGCCAGCCGCCGCAGUAA
rnacentral:rRNA from 1 species